UUAGAGAUGUCAGAGAUUAUGAGUUUGUUUUAGGUACAAAAUACAAGUUUAAAACUUUCUUUAAG
rnacentral:tRNA from 1 species